CAAGGCUUUGCUUUUGGAGCGGUGGGAAGGAGGUGUGGAUCAGUUUUCGAUGAGAUUUUUGAUCCAUCUUGAAGAACCUAUCGAAGCCUGAGGUUCAUCUUGAGAACAGCUUGUCAUCCAUCUCGCCCUCUAUCGCUCAGCGACCCAAAUGGAGGCCCCAGGACUGCAGUCUGCAUGAAGAAACAAUUCAGAUUGGCCAAGAUCGCAUAACUAAAAGUUGGGGAGUUGGAACCUACUAAAACUGACUCCAAAUUAAUACAGUGCUUGUAGCCACUUCUGUAAUAAUGGUAAA